UGUAAACGUUGUUUAUGAUAUGAAAAUAUACAUACAAUAGAACCUUGGUUUAAUGGAUUCUACUUUAAACACAUUUCAGAUUUAUGUACAAAAUAAUUGGAUUCAAUUUUUAUUUGAUUUACAACAAAUAUUUGAAAUUCCCAUUGAGAAUAGUGGAUGAUAGUGUUGUAUUUAACAUUUCAUUAUAUAAAAGGAAUAUCAAUGUUAUCCUAUGGAGUUUAGACCUAACACAGAUAGCAGUCUGUUAUACAAGAGGAAUGCAAUAUUAUAAUAGUGAGGUUAGAUUUAACAAGUUGGCAUUGAUUAAUGAUUCACAUGCAUUUAUUUAGAUAAUUACAUUUUAUGAGUAAGAAAAUAUAAU
rnacentral:lncRNA from 1 species